rnacentral:rRNA from 1 species
GUUUAGUAUUUGGUCGUAGACCCGAAACCAGGUGAUCUACCCUUGGUCAGGUUGAAGUUCAGGUAACACUGAAUGGAGGACCGAACCGACUUACGUUGAAAAGUGAGCGGAUGAACUGAGGGUAGCGGAGAAAUUCCAAUCGAACCUGGAGAUAGCUGGUUCUCUCCGAAAUAGCUUUAGGGCUAGCCUCAAGUGAUGAUUAUUGGAGGUAGAGCACUGUUUGGACGAGGGGCCCCUCUCGGGUUACCGAAUUCAGACAAACUCCGAAUGCCAAUUAAUUUAACUUGGGAGUCAGAACAUGGGUGAUAAGGUCCGUGUUCGAAAGGGAAACAGCCCAGACCACCAGC